CUACUAGAUGCAUACUUGCAAGAACAGAAUAUUCAAGGAUAUAAUCUUUCAAUGUAGGGUAAUAACUGCUUGAUCCAAGGAUAAAUCUGACUGCCAUUCUGGGGUCAAGAAGGAAUUUUUUUCCUAGCUUGUUGCAAAAUUGUGCUUCAAACUGGGUUUUUUUGCCUUCUUUUGGAUCAACAGCAAAAAACAAAUGUGAGGUAGGCUGAACUUGAUGGACGCAAGUCUCUUUUCAGCUAUGUAACUAUGUAACUAUGUAAGAAUGAGG